UACGUAGGGUGCGAGCGUUAAUCGGAAUUACUGGGCGUAAAGCGUGCGCAGGCGGUUUCGUAAGACAGAUGUGAAAUCCCCGGGCUUAACCUGGGAACUGCGUUUGUGACUGCGAGACUCGAGUGUGGCAGAGGGGGGUGGAAUUCCACGUGUAGCAGUGAAAUGCGUAGAUAUGUGGAGGAACAUCGGUGGCGAAGGCAGCCCCCUGGGCCAACACUGACGCUCAUGCACGAAAGCGUGGGGAGCAAACAGG
rnacentral:rRNA from 1 species